AAACGACUAGAAUCACGCGAAUUUAGUGCAAUUUCUUAUUACAACAAUGUCUUGAGUGUAAAAGGCGUGGGCAUACAUGAUAAUUAGCCAAAUAAAUCAUUGUUCACGACACUUUAUGGUUAAAUGAUCGAAAUGAGUGCGAUGGCGAUAUAAUCCUACUUUUCCAUUAGUUGACAUGGUCUUUGACAUUAAAUUAAGAUGGUCAGUUUCAUGUAAUAAGCUGUAUUUGUGAUCUAGUCUGGGUAAUUCAUGUGACCAAAAAUGUUGUUAUAGGCUAACGUUUUUCUGGAAAAAAAGCAGGACAACAUCAUUCCCAUCUCCAAAAUAUAGCAUUUUUGCAGUAUAGGCUACAAUGCAGUUUUUAAUGUCCAAUGUGCUAUGUAUUUUCCUGCAUACGAACUACUCCUCCAAAACAGUGUUUACACUGGAAGUUGUGGAGUUGAGAAGCCUAUUCUAGUAUUUGAAUGACAGUUUUACUCUUUUCUCACCUAUACUAAAUGUCUAUGAAUUGCAGUGAUAAAAUUGACAGGUGCAAUGUUUUCUAGACAUAUCUUUGUCUUUUUUUGUUUUAAUUUCAUCAUGUUUUCACAGAUCCUUGCUCCUGAUAUCCUGAAGUAUGGCUUGCAUUUCAUUAUAUGACUCCAACAGUACACUCACAGAAAGGAGAGUGGUGUCAAACUACAAGACCGCCAGCAUGUAAACAAGGCCUUUGUUUGUCCUUGUUUGGCUACUCAUUUGUCUACUUCCUGAAGAGGCUGAAGCAUGCUGGCGUUGACACCUCAGUCCUUGCUUCCAUUAACAGUUGUGUUAUAGAGCAUAUCGUCAUAUCAUGGUCUACUGCAACGGCAAUUGGCAGGCAGUGUGCUGUGAGGACUGCUGCCCUGAUUCAUACGGAAGAAGUUCCAAGCCCGCAAUGGGCUCCAUCAACUGUCCAGGGUGAAGUCGGUCUGUACUGAUUGCACUACCUUCUACUUGAUGAUGUCUGGUAGCCGUGGCUACUGCCCUCAACCUGGUACACUUGACACUUGACAUUUACUGCCAAAAGGUACCAUCAGAGCACCUCUCCCUACCCUGCAGGACAUCUAUACCAGAAGAGUACAGAGGCCCAAAAUAUUUCAAAAGACAUUUCACACCCUGACCAUGGACUGUUUAAACCACUGAGGUCAAGCAGACGUCUCUGUUCCCACAUGGCUAGAACAGACUGAGAAGGAGUUUCUUUCCUGAAGCCAUCUGCAUCCCGAUCACACAUAACUCUUUAAACUACAUUAUAUAGACUUGCCAUACUGCACUUACACACACUGCUCUGUUUACCACCUGAAAAGAUUGUUGCUGCAAUGUCUCAGGUUUUGUUCAAAUCAUGUCUACUGUAUAUCAAGGAUGGUUCCCAAAACCAACGCCUGUUCGCCAGGCUCAUUUUCUGCAAGGCCCUUGAUUUGGGGAAAAGUGCGAAAACCAGUGACAUUAAGGGUAUGAACUUCUUUUUGUACACAUUUACAUACUAUGGGUUAUUAAUGUUGUGCCAAUAUUUUAGCUCUCCAUAUAUAAUGUUGACACAAAAAUAUGUUUACAAGGCCCAUAGUAUCACCAGUUUUGCACCUUGUUCCUUAUCUAGGGCCUCAUAUAAAAUGAAUGGGUAUGCACUACAAACAAUGGUCCAGUCAUACUGAGAACAUGUCUGUCUUUCAUCUUCCACCAAGUUUGGACAAGCUAGGAACAAUAUUUUUUUAAAUAUAUCAAUGCCUAAAGAUGGCCUCCAAGAUAAGGAAUUUCUGAGAGUGUAAAUGAUACAAAAUCAAGGGUUAAAAGGGGUAUGGAAUUAUAAAAUUGAGCAAAAAUAUUUUACAGGUUUUGGGACUUAAAGGUAGUCAAGAGCAAAAUCUGAGACGGUGCAGCAACUGUUUUCCUGGAUUUUAUCUGACUUGAAACAGAAUGACCACCCUUCCCUAUCGUUAAAUUACAUGUAUUUCUAAAUCCUUCUUUCUUUAUCCUGUACACCUCUGCACAGGCAAGUUGAGAAGCUGAAUGCCAGUUCUCUAUGUAUUUUACAAUGAUAUCUCUGUAUCUGACAAUUCCUUGAAUCCAAUUUUGUAUUGUGAUAUUUUGUGAUGUCUACAGAAAU